rnacentral:rRNA from 1 species
UGAUGACCGCUGGCGGCAGGCUUAACACAUGCAAGUCGAGCGGAAACGAUGGUAGCUUGCUACCAGGCGUCGAGCGGCGGACGGGUGAGUAAUACUUAGGAAUCUACCUAGUAGUGGGGGAUAGCUCGGGGAAACUCGAAUUAAUACCGCAUACGACCUACGGGAGAAAGGGGGCAGUUUACUGCUCUCGCUAUUAGAUGAGCCUAAGUCGGAUUAGCUAGAUGGUGGGGUAAAGGCCUACCAUGGCGACGAUCUGUAGCUGGUCUGAGAGGAUGAUCAGCCACACCGGGACUGAGACACGGCCCGGACUCCUACGGGAGGCAGCAGUGGGGAAUAUUGGACAAUAGGGGAAACCCUGAUCCAGCCAUGCCGCGUGUGUGAAGAAGGCCUUUUGGUUGUAAAGCACUUUAAGCAGUGAAGAAGACUCCAUGGUUAAUACCCAUGGACGAUGACAUUAGCUGCAGAAUAAGCACCGGCUAACUCUGUGCCAGCAGCCGCGGUAAUCAGAGGGUGCAAGCGUUAAUCGGAAUUCUGGGCGUAAAGCGAGCGUAGGUGGCUUGAUAAGUCAGAUGUGAAAUCCCCGGCUUAACCUGGGAACUGCAUCUGAUACUGUUAGGCUAGAGUAGGUGAGAGGAAGGUAGAAUUCCAGGUGUACCGGUGAAAUGCGUAAAAUCUG